GACGAACGCUGGCGGCGUGCUUAACACAUGCAAGUCGAACGGUAAGGCCCCUUCGGGGGUACACGAGUGGCGAACGGGUGAGUAACACGUGAGCAACCUGCCCUUGACUCUGGAAUAACAGUUGGAAACAGCUGCUAAUACUGGAUAUUCAUCGUCUCCUUCCUGGGGGGUGGUGGAAAGCUCCGGCGGUCAGGGAUGGGCUCGCGGCCUAUCAGCUUGUUGGUGAGGUAAUGGCUCACCAAGGCUUCGACGGGUAGCCGGCCUGAGAGAGCGACCGGCCACACUGGGACUGAGAUACGGCCCAGACUCCUACGGGAGGCAGCAGUGGGGAAUAUUGCACAAUGGGCGCAAGCCUGAUGCAGCAACGCCGCGUGCGGGAUGACGGCCUUCGGGUUGUAAACCGCUUUCAGUAGGGACGAAGGGUGACUGACGGUACCUACAGAAGAAGGACCGGCUAACUACGUG
rnacentral:rRNA from 1 species